AUUGAACGCUGGCGGCAGGCCUAACACAUGCAAGUCGAGCGGAUGAAGGGAGCUUGCUCCUGGAUUCAGCGGCGGACGGGUGAGUAAUGCCUAGGAAUCUGCCUGGUAGUGGGGGAUAACGUCCGGAAACGGGCGCUAAUACCGCAUACGUCCUGAGGGAGAAAGUGGGGGAUCUUCGGACCUCACGCUAUCAGAUGAGCCUAGGUCGGAGUAGCUAGUUGGUGGGGUAAAGGCCUACCAAGGCGACGAUCCGUAACUGGUCUGAGAGGAUGAUCAGUCACACUGGAACUGGGACACGGUCCAGACCCCUACGGGAGGCAGCAGUGGGGAAUAUUGGACAAUGGGCGAAAGCCUGAUCCAGCCAUGCCGAGUGUGUGAAGAAGGUCUUCGGAUUGUAAAGCACUUUAAGUUGGGAGGAAGGGCAGUAAGUUAAUACCUUGCUGUUUUGACGUUACCAACAGAAUAAGCACCGGCUAACUUCGUG
rnacentral:rRNA from 1 species